rnacentral:rRNA from 1 species
CGAAACCGCGAAUGGCUCAUUAAAUCAGUUAUGGUUCACUAGAUCGUACAGUUUACAUGGAUAACUGUGGUAAUUCUAGAGCUAAUACAUGCACCCAGUCCGUUCCCUCGUGGAGCGGAUGCAGUUAUUUGCCCAAAACCAAUCCGGCCUUCGGGUCGGUCAAUUGGUGACUCUGAAUAACCGAAGCGGAGCGCAUGGUCUCGUACCGGCGCCAGAUCUUUCAAGUGUCUGACUUAUCAGCUUGUUGUUAGGUUAUGUUCCUAACAGGGCAUCAACGGGUAACGGAGUGUCAGGGCCCGACACCGGAGAGGGAGCCUGAGAAACGGCUACCACAUCCAAGGAAGGCAGCAGGCGCGCAAAUUACCCACUCCCGGCACGGGGAGGUAGUGACGAAAAAUAACG